AUAGUGUUGACAGUGUACUGCAGGUCUGUGUCAUCACAGGUAACUAUAGUGUUGACAGUGUAAUGCAGGUCUGUGUCAUCACAGGUAACUAUAGUGUUGACAGUGUAAUGCUACAGGUCUGUGUCAUCACAGGUAACUAUAGUGUUGACAGUGUAAUGCAGGUCUGUGUCAUUACAGGUAACUAUAGUGUUGACAGUGUAAUGCUACAGGUCUGUGUCAUUACAGGUAACUAUAGUGUUGACAGUGUAAUGCUGCAGGUCUGUGUCAUCACAGGUAACUAUAGUGUUGACAGUGUACUGCAGGUCUGUGUCAUUACAGGUAACUAUAGUGUUGACAGUGUACUGUUACAGGUCUGUGUCAUCACAGGUAACUAUAGUGUUGACAGUGUACUGCAGGUCUGUGUCAUCACAGGUAACUAUAGUGUUGACAGUGUAAUGCUACAGGUCUGUGUCAUCACAGGUAACUAUAGUGUUGACAGUGUACUGCAGGUCUGUGUCAUUACAGGUAACUAUAGUGUUGACAGUGUACUGCAGGUCUUUAUGGUCCAGGUAACUAUAGUAUUGACAGUGUACUGCAGGUCUGUGUCAUCACAGGUAACUAUAGUGUUGACAGUGUACUGCAGGUCUGUGUCAUCACAGGUAACUAUAGUGUUGACAGUGUACUGCAGGUCUGUGUCAUCACAGGUAACUAUAGUGUUGACAGUGUAAUGCUGUAGGUCUUUAUGGUCCAGGUAACUAUAGUAUUGACAGUGUACUGCAGGUCUGUGUCAUCACAGGUAACUAUAGUGUUGACAGUGUACUGCAGGUCUGUGUCAUCACAGGUAACUAUAGUGUUGACAGUGUACUGCAGGUCUGUGUCAUCACAGGUAACUAUAGUGUUGACAGUGUAAUGCUACAGGUCUGUGUCAUCACAGGUAACUAUAGUGUUGACAGUGUACUGCAGGUCUGUGUCAUUACAGGUAACU